rfam:Pedobacter glucosidilyticus strain DD6b PBAC_contig000073, whole genome shotgun sequence.
CUUAGCGUGAGCGAUACACUAAAGUAAGCGAGACUGCAAAAGUCUGCACUGACGAACAGAAACUGGAUAAGAGGCAUCAUUGAGCGGAUGAGAUGGCACAGCACAUUGAAGUCCAAAGAAAACCAAAAGCUCAACGAUGUAGAUUCAGCAGGAGUAGAUUGAAGGAUAUUUAU